ACUAUUUAGGCGGGAUAGCGCGUUAAAUUUAGGAUUUAAAUACGGUUAAUAGCCAAAUAGUA
rnacentral:tRNA from 1 species